AUUGAACGCUGGCGGCAGGCCUAACACAUGCAAGUCGAACGGGAGCGCGGACGUGUGAGUAGUGCCUAGGAAUCUGCCUGGUAGUGGGGGAUAUCGUCCGGACACUGGCUCUUAUACCGUAUUCUCUCAGAUGACCCUAUGUGGGAUUCGCGAGUUGGUGGGGUAAAGGCCUACCAAGGCGACGAUCCGUAUCUGGUCUGAGAGGAUGAUCAGUCACACUGGGACUGAGACACGGUCCAGACUCCUACGGGAGGCAGCAGUGGGGAAUAUUGGACAAUGGGCGAAAGCCUGAUCCAGCCAUGCCGCGUGUGUGAAGAAGGUCUUCGGAUUGUAAAGCACUUUAAGUUGGGAGGCGUUACCAACAGAAGAAGCACCGGCUAACUUCGUGCCAGCAGCCGCGGUAAUUC
rnacentral:rRNA from 1 species